rnacentral:ncRNA from 1 species
CUUGUGGAUUGUUAUAUAAACUCAAGUAGCUGUUAAUAAUUUAAUAGUAGAACGGGGACAGGAAGAAGCAAGAA